ensembl:lncRNA
CCUAUACAGCCACACCAGUGUCUUCCUGCUUUCUUAAGACACUCCACACAGCAGUGGGAUUUGGAGCAAAGAGGAGCUGAAGGUGCCUGGAACUGUCCUGUUGCCAGCUCUGGUAAAGGACCUGAGUGAGCGUGAAGUUGACUGAGCACUGGCACAGGUUGUCCAGAGGCUGUGGAGUCUUCAGAAGAUCUUCAAAAGCCAUUUCAAAGAUCUGCAAAUAUGCCUGGAUUUGGUCCAGACCCCCUGCUCUGGGUGUCCCUGCUGGAGCAGGGGUUGGGCCGGAUGGAUCCAGAGGUCCCUGCCCACCUCAACCUUUGUGUGACCUGAGCCCACUUAUCAGUGGUGACAUGAUGAAUUCUUCUGUGGUUGGUGUACUGAAUGAGAUAAUGUAAAACUGCUGCAGGAGUGUCUUUGUUCUACUCAUGAAGAUCCUUUAGCUUGAACCAAAUGUGCAACUAAAGUAGGGCCAUUAGAGACUCUCCAAUUAACAAGCUUCACCCAUAAUCCAAGGCAAAAACCAUGAAUAAAAAAAAAAAAAAACACUUAAAUCUCCAUGGUGUUUCUAUUUACUUGUCUAUUUGGAGGCUGGAAGUGUUCUGCCUGUGAUCAAGGAUUGCCUGUGUUUGAAUUAAAGAUGUAGAACUGUAGCAGUUAUUAAACAGACUGUGUGCUGAUUAUUGACAAAUGACAUUUUGUUAGCAUAAAAACAUGUCUUUUAUGAGAGAUGCUGAAUCAAGAUGACUCAAGAGAAUAAAGUAGGC